rnacentral:rRNA from 1 species
AGCAGUAGCCGCGGUAAGACAAAGGAUGCAAGCGUUAUCCGGAAUGAUUGGGCGUAAGGCGUCUGUAGGUGGCUUUUCAAGUCCGUCAUCAAAUCCCAGGGCUCAACCCUGGACAGGCGGUGGAAACUACCAAGCUGGAGUACGGUAGGGGCAGAGGGGAUUUUCGGUGGAGCGGUGAAAUGCGUUGAGAUCGGAAAGAACACCAACGGCGAAGGCACUCUGCUGGGCCAACACUGACACUGAGAGACGAAAGCUAGGGGAGCAAAUGGGAUUAGAUACCCGCGUAGUCCCUGUCUCUUAUAC